UGGUAGAGUUAAUCUUUGCUUGUGGAAAGC
rnacentral:piRNA from 1 species